UUUUUUUCUCUCUCUCUCUCUUCUGGUUAUUGA
rnacentral:sRNA from 1 species